GGCCAGUUAGCUCAGUCAGUCAGAGCGUGGUGCUGAUACUGCCAAGGUCACGGGUUCGAUCCCCGUUUGGACCU
rnacentral:tRNA from 1 species